rnacentral:rRNA from 1 species
AACGCGAAGAACCUUACCAGGUCUUGACAUCCUCUGACAAUCCUAGAGAUAGGACGUCCCCUUCGGGGGCAGAGUGACAGGUGGUGCAUGGUUGUCGUCAGCUCGUGUCGUGAGAUGUUGGGUUAAGUCCCGCAACGAGCGCAACCCUUGAUCUUAGUUACCAGCAUUCAGUUGGGCACUCUAAGGUGACUGCCGGUGACAAACCGGAGGAAGGUGGGGAUGACGUCAAAUCAUCAUGCCCCUUAUGACCUGGGCUACACACGUGCUACAAUGGGCAGAACAAAGGGCAGCGAAACCGCGAGGUUAAGCCAAUCCCACAAAUCUGUUCUCAGUUCAGAUCGCAGUCUGCAACUCGACUGCGUGAAGCUGGAAUCGCUAGUAAUCGCGGAUCAGCAUGCCGCGGUGAAUACGUUCCCGGGCCUUGUACACACCG